CUAAAAAGAAAAUAUAAAAUUUAUUUUUUAAAAUUUCAUCAAAAAACAUAUCCUUUAGGCCUAAGGUUUCGUUUGUCGCUUCAUACAUUAAAAUAUAUAUUUUUUAAUCAUUAUUAAUUUUUUUCACGAUUAAUGUUCUUAAUUUUUUUCUUGUCUUGUUAAAGUUUUGUAAUUAACUUAAAUUAUAUAACAUUUUGAAUUGUCAUUUCAUUUUUUUAUAAGUCUUUUUUUUAAAUGUUUUAUGCUUCCAAUAUAGAAUGAUUGGCAAGGGAAAAUAUUGCAAAGCAUUUGACGCAGAAACUGCUAUUGGCAUCCUCUCAAGUGGUUGAAUCCAAGUAAGGCUGGUGAGCAGCCCAAGCUUCAGCUGGCUGUCUCCAGAUCAAAGGGGAAAUAGAAAUAAUAAAAUUAGUUUUCUAUAAUCCCUUGGGAUUAUUUUAUCUUUUUUUCUCUAAUGGUGCAUAGUUGAGUAGUGAACAAGAAUUGGCAUUGGUUGUAAAUGAACUUUUUUUUUAAUUUGUUCUCCAAAAGAAAGUUGGUGUAGAAAUAAUUUCUCUUAAAAAUUAUAGCAUUGAAUUUUUCUAUUAGAGAAAAUUAAUUUUAAUAUUUAAUAUAUUUUCUUUUUCCUUGAUUGCAAUGAUUUUCUAAUGUGUUUAUAAAAUUAUUGUUUAAUUUGAGUUACUUUUAUUGUGUUUAAUGUACUUGGUAAAGAUAAAUUAAUGGCGACUUAAUAGAACUGGAUUUAAGUCAAUGUUACUUUGUCAAUCUUAAGCUAAAGAUUGAUGAGAGAUUAAAGAAAUAAUUUUUAAAACUAAAUAUAAUGAUGAAAAUUAUAUGUUGCACAAUUGUUUUUAAAAAAAUCUAAGCACAAUUAUGUAAAAUAAUAAAAUGAGCAUUAAUAUGUAAAAGAUCAAAAGUUUAAAGUAUACAUACGAUUAAAUUCAAGAAAUACCAUGAAGUAACAAAGACCGUUGGGGGCCGGGGGGGAGGGGAGUGGACUUAUACAAAUUCAUAGUGUUGAAAAAAAUUGAGGGUUGCAACAAUGAUUUUUCAAAAUUAUAUUGUAAGUUGAUAUUUAUUAAAAAAAAGCGGGGUCAAACGUAAUUUACCUCAAUAUUUUAAUGUUUUACUAUAAUAAAAUGCGACUCGUAACAACCACCUAAAAUGUUGGCAUACAGUAAAAACAUUUGGAAUAUAAAACCAAAAAAAUGGUGGAAGUAACUAUUAAAGAGCUGAACUCAUAAAUUGAAACAACUUACUGAUGAUUUGGUAAAUUUCAAUGGGAACUAGAGACAUGAAAAAUAAACUUGAAACACACACCUACAUGUUGGAAUUCAAUAAAAAGUCUUGGUAUAUAGAACCAAAAAAUAGUGGGAAAAAAGUGGGAGAGUUAACCUGAAAGUUGGAAUUACGCAACGAUAGUUUGAUAAAUUCCAAUGGGAAAUAGGGACUAAGAAUUGAAUUUGAAACUUUCACCCAAAAUGUUGGAAUUCAUUAAAAAAAACCUGGAAUAUAUAACUAAAAGGUACUGGAAAUAAAAGUUGAAGAACUUAACACAAAAGUUGGAAUAACUUAUUAAGAAUUUGAUAAAUUCUAAUGACAAGUUGGAAUCUAAAAAAUAAACUUGAAACUUCUAUUCAAAAUAUUGGAAUUCAUUAAAAAAAGUAGAAAUAUAGAACCAAAAAGUGGUGGGAACAAGAGUUGAAGAACAUAACGCAAAAUUGGAAACGGCUCACCCACAAUUUGAUAAAUUCCAACUAUAAGUAGGGAUCCAAAAAGUGAAAUUGAAACAUACACCUGAAAUUUUAAAAUUCAAUAAAAAAAGUAGAAAUAUAAAACAAAAAACUAGUAGGAAAAAGAGUUGAUGAAUUUAACCGAAAAGUACGAACAAUUUACCAGGAAUUUGAUAAAUUUCAACAGGAAGUAGGGAUAUAAGAAGUGAACUUGAAACAUCCACCCAAAAUAUUGAAAUUUAAUAAAAAGAGCAGGAAUAAAUAACCAAAAAGUAGUGGGAAUAUGAAUUGAAGAGCCUAACCCAAAACUUGGAAUAACUUAGCAAGAAAUCGAUAUAUUUUAAAGAGAAGUAGGGAUCUAAAAAUGAACUUAAAAUAUCCAUUCAAAAUAUUGAAAUUCCAUAAAAAGAGUAGAAACAUAAAAGGAAAAACUGGUGGUAAUAACAGUUGAUAACUUUAACCUAAAAGUCAGAAUAACCUAACAAAGAAAUUGAUAAAUUUUAACAGAAAAUGGGGAUCUAAAAAGUGAACUUGAAACUCUCACCCAAAAUAUUAGAAUUCAAUAAAAUGAAUAGGAAUAUAGAAUCAAAAAGUAGUGGCAACAAGAGUUGAUGAACUCAACCCAAAAAUUGGAAUAAUGGACUAAGAAUUUGAUAAAUUCCAAUGCGAAGUAGGGCUCUAAAAGUAAACAAGAAAUAUCUACCGAAAAUGUUGAAACUCUAUAAAAAUAGUUGGAAUCUAGGACUUAAAAGUGGUGAGAAAAUGAGUUGGAAUAACUUACCAGAAAUUAGAUAAAGGCUAAUGGAAUGUAGGAAUGUUGAAAGUAAACUUAAAAUAUCCACGUAAAAAGUUGGAAUUUAAUGAAAAAAAGUGAAAAUAUAGAACCAAAAACUAGUGGAAAAAUGAGUUGAAAUAACUUACCAAAAUUUAGAUAAAUCGUAACAAAAAAAUAGGAAUUUGAAAAGUAAACUCGAAACAUGCACUAUAAAUAUUGAAAUGUGACAAAAUAAGUGGGAAUAUAGUUAUUUUGUGACUUGUUUAUAAUACUUGUAUAGUUUCUUGUACUAUUUAUAAAUUUAAAAUUAUUAUAUUCUUUUGCUUCAUUUAAUUACAAUUUUAUCUUUUUUUCCCUAUUUUUUUCAUAUUUUUUUCGCAUUAAAAACAAAUUAAAAUGUAAUAUUUAUUAUGUUAACCGGUUAAAAACCGGUUGUACUGGUUGCGUGCAUGCGCUGUAUGAGAUACAGCGCUGCACUGUAGGUUGACUCAAAAUUAAAUAACAUCGAAACUCGUCAAUCAUUCGCGUGAAAUCAAAUGGUGACAUUGACGUGGUAAUAAUAAUGCAAAUCGAAAGCAACAAAAGAUGGAUGUCAAUGACUUUGCAUGAGAAAUGAGUUUUGCAGACGUGGACUAAAGUUGAUCAAACGAAUGAGACGAUGAAGUCGUUCUUCUUUGUUUUCCAAAAAGCAAAAACACUGUACAUUUCAAGAUCACAACUGCCAAGUGGCAAAAACUCCGACGUAUCUAGAAUUUCUCCCCCCACAAUUUUAAUUCUAAUUUUCAUACCAUCCUUAAAUUAGUUGCACAACUAAAGUAUAUCAGA
rnacentral:lncRNA from 1 species